rnacentral:rRNA from 4 species
AAAACGACUCUCGGCAACGGAUAUCUCGGCUCUCGCAUCGAUGAAGAACGUAGCGAAAUGCGAUACUUGGUGUGAAUUGCAGAAUCCCGUGAACCAUCGAGUCUUUGAACGCAAGUUGCGCCCCAAGCCUUCUGGCCGAGGGCACGUCUGCCUGGGUGUCACAAA